rnacentral:lncRNA from 1 species
GCCCAGGCACCACCUGCCGCAUCCCCUUUGGAGCCCCCUUCGGUUCACUGUGUGCUGAGCCCCUGGAGAAUCGCCCACCGCGCAGGGAUAGUGAUUUUUAAAGAGCCUGUUGGUCUACCCGACAAGGUAGCAAUGGUCGCCUGCGUUUCCACACGGCAAGGGGCAGGGGGCGCUCCAACCCUGUGGAAAGGGCCUCCUGGGACUUUCUGAACGCUCCUUUUGGGGGCGCAGUGGGAGGGAUUUGCAGCCUGGGUCCUUCAAGGACAGGGUCGUAGGGCAGGGAGUGGGGUGUGCGUGUGAGGGGAGGUGGGUCCUUUUGCUUCUCCGGGCCUCAGUCUUUGUCCCUGUCCAGUGGGGUUACAUAGCUGCCCUGGUGGUUGGGGAGGGGAGUUCUGUCAUGGGUGUGAACAUGAGGGGCCUGGGCUCCCUUGGCUGUGACUGGACGUUGGCCCCUGAUCACUGAGAUAGCGACAGUCCUGCCCACUAGCGAGGUCUGCCAGCCCUGGGUGUGUGACUGCCAAGGGCAAGGCCAGAGCCUGGGUCCAGAGCUGGACUCAAGUGCAGUCUUCCUGGGAGCCCGGGACAGGGGAGCCAAAGAGGGCAUCCAGGCAGGAGCCAGGCGCUGCCCAUCCCCCACCCGGGCUUCGGGAGUCCGUCAAGGUCAGUCAGCUACCAGCUCCUUAACCUUGGAGUUCUGAAACCUCAUCUGUUUCCUCCCUUAGAAAAGGGGAGUAGGGUGCCCGCAGAGGCAGUGUUGGGUCCUCCGGGUCCUGCCUGAUUCCUCCUCUAACCCCGCCCUUCUCUUCUGGGAAUUCACAGACUCCAGAGGAUGCUGGGAUUGCCUGAGACUUGAUAAACGUGCAGAGGGCCAACCCAUGCUCUAGCUCCUCUGUCCCCGCAGCAGCCUUGCCCAGUUGGGAGGUCCCAGGCCCGGUCCUGGGGACGGCAGACAGCGCUUAGAGUCUUCAUGUGGGAGGCGAGGCUGGACCCCCACAGAACCUGCUGCCCACGUCUGUGCUGUGGAGUUUCCAUGUGCUCUGUCAGGAGAGAGGUUGAGAAACACCAGAUUCUGUCCUUUCGUCUUGUGGCAGGAUGGUGCUGCAUUGGCCCCACUGCACAGAUAAGAAAACUGAGGCUCCAAGCAAGAGGUGAGUGACUUGCCCAAGGUCACACUGUGCCCGGGUGGGCCUUUACCCCUGAUUCUGCCUUCUGGGGGUGGAUGGAGCUGGGGACGUGCAGUUGACAUCAGUGUGCAGCCUGCUCAGGAGUCCAGAUGUCCUCUUGGUACCACUCCAUGUGGCCUCACUGCAGGUAGACACACUUCAGGGCCCCCAGGGCUCUGGGUGUGGGGGAGGGGGAAUCUCCUGAACGCGCUGAUGGGCAGUUGAGGACAGGUCCAGGGAGGGCCCGGGCUUCUG